GGCGGCAUGCCUUACACAUGCAAGUCGAACGGUAACAGGUUAAGCUGACGAGUGGCGAACGGGUGAGUAAUAUAUCGGAACGCGCCCAGUAGUGGGGGAUAGCCCGGCGAAAGCCGGAUUAAUACCGCAUACGACCUACGGGUGAAAGGGGGGGAUCGCAAGACCUCUCGCUAUUGGAGCGGCCGAUAUCAGAUUAGCUAGUUGGUGGGGUAAAAGCUCACCAAGGCGACGAUCUGUAGCUGGUCUGAGAGGACGACCAGCCACACUGGGACUGAGACACGGCCCAGACUCCUACGGGAGGCAGCAGUGGGGAAUUUUGGACAAUGGACGCAAGUCUGAUCCAGCCAUGCCGCGUGCGGGAAGAAGGCCUUCGGGUUGUAAACCGCUCUUGUCAGGGAAGAAAAGCUCCGAACUAAUAAUUUGGGGUGAUGACGGUACCUGAA
rnacentral:rRNA from 1 species